GAUGAACGCUGGCGGCGUGCCUAAUACAUGCAAGUCGAGCGAAUGGAUUAAGAGCUUGCUCUUAUGAAGUUAGCGGCGGACGGGUGAGUAACACGUGGGUAACCUGCCCAUAAGACUGGGAUAACUCCGGGAAACCGGGGCUAAUACCGGAUAACAUUUUGAACCGCAUGGUUCGAAAUUGAAAGGCGGCUUCGGCUGUCACUUAUGGAUGGACCCGCGUCGCAUUAGCUAGUUGGUGAGGUAACGGCUCACCAAGGCAACGAUGCGUAGCCGACCGGAGAGGGUGAUCGGCCCCACUGGGACUGAGACACGGCCAAGACUCCGACGGGAGGCAGAAGUAGGGAAUCUUCCGCAAUGGACGAAAGUCUGACGGAGGAACGCCGCGUGAGUGAUGAAGGCUUUCGGGUCGUAAAACUCUGUUGUUAGGGAAGAACAAGUGCUAGUUGAAUAAGCUGGCACCUUGACGGUACCUAACCAGAAAGCCACGGCUAACUACGUGCCAGCCGCCGCUGUAA
rnacentral:rRNA from 1 species